rnacentral:rRNA from 1 species
CCUACUGGAUGCAGCAGUGGGGAAUAUUGCACAAUGGGGGAAACCCUGAUGCAGCAACGCCGCGUGAAUGCAGACGGUUUUCGGAUUGUAAACUCCUGUUCUUAGUGAAGAAUAAUGACGGUAGCUAAGGAGCAAGCCACGGCUAACUACGUGCCAGCAGCCGCGGUAAUACGUAGGUGGCAAGCGUUGUCCGGAAUUACUGGGUGUAAAGGGAGCGUAGACGGCGGGGUAAGUCUGGAGUGAAAUCCCAUGGCUUAACCAGGGAACUGCUUUGGAAACUGUGCAGCUGGAGUGCAGGAGAGGUAAGCGGAAUUCCUAGUGUAGCGGUGAAAUGCGUAGAUAGUAGGAGGAACACCAGUGGCGAAGGCGGCUUACUGGACUGUAACUGACGUUGAGGCUCGAAAGCGUGGGGAGCAAACAGGAUUAGAUACCCCAGUAGUC